AACGAACGCUGGCGGCAGGCUUAACACAUGCAAGUCGAACGCAUCCUUCGGGGUGAGUGGCAGACGGGUGAGUAACGCGUGGGAACGUGCCCUUCAGUUCGGGAUAACCCAGGGAAACUUGGGCUAAUACCGGAUACGUGCGAGAGCAGAAAGAUUGAUCGCUGAAGGAUCGGCCCGCGUCUGAUUAGCUAGUUGGGGGGGUAAUGGCCCACCAAGGUGACGAUCAGUAGCUGGUCUGAGAGGAUGAUCAGCCACAUUGGGACUGGAACACGGCCCCAACUCCGACGGGAGGCAGCAGUGGGGAAUAUUGGACAAUGGGCGCAAGCCUGAUCCAGCCAUGCCGCGUGAGUGAUGAAGGCCUUAGGGUUGUAAAGCUCUUUCGUCCGGGACGAUAAUGACGGUACCGGAAGAAGAAGCCCCGGCUAACUUCGUGCCAGCCGCCGCCGUAA
rnacentral:rRNA from 1 species